CCAAUGGGCAGUCCCAGGAUGGAGUCUGAAUCAACAAGGAACCUACACCUAGAGCCUCAACAUCACCAGGGAACUUGGCUGAAGGAGACUGGAAAUCUGGGGAGACAUGAGCCAGAAGUGACUGGAGCCACUGGCUCUGCCAAUGGAUCCACAUGGUGCCAUGUGCAGAAGAASUUCUCACAGAGAAAAGUUAAAGCACAACACUAGUUGUGACCUGCUCUGAUCACCAGGCAUCUGUGGGGACUGGAAGAAUCACCUCACAGUGGCCCAAGCUGAAGCCUUGGAUAAAUUAUACCAAGAGAAGAUGUUGGGUUUCCCCAAAGAGCUGUUCCCAUGGGAKUAGUGUCCAAAAAUUCUGGAUCUUUUAUAAAUACUAACAUUGUUUCCUGUCUUGGGAUAUUUACAGGAUUGGGAGGUUCUUAAUAUAAAAAACCAUUCUAUGAGAAAAGGAAGGAAAAGAUAGGAUAACAUAAAGAAGCAAUGAAAUAUAAAAUAAUAGAUGAGCAAAAGGAAGUCUAGUUGGUCAGAGGAAGGAGAAUGGGUAAGGGGGUACACAGGAGAGAAAGAGGGAUCGUGACAUAAAAUUGAUUGCAUGGAUUACUUUUUACUGAAGAACUCAACACUAUGUAUAACAAUACAGCUGUGUCAAAAAAAAAAAACCAAUUUGCCAUUCUGCU